rnacentral:rRNA from 1 species
AACUUGUGAACUGCAGGACACAUGAACAUCGACAUUUCGAACGCACAUUGCGGUCCUCGGAUACUGUUCCUGGACCACUCCUGGCUGAGGGUCGUAU